ACUCUCCACUCCAGUCCAUUGUAAUAUGGUUGUAUGGUUGUAUGGUUGUAUGGUUUUGUGUCGUAGAAAUGUACUGGUGUAGUUAUGUUAUGAUGUUGAUGUUGUUAUUUGGUGCCUUAAUACAGUCUAAGUCCUGUCUGUGCCUGGGGGAGGGGGUUCUACUGAACGAUGUGGAAUUGUUUUAAGAAUGUCAAACCAAGGAUCUUCUUGUUAUUUGGUGCCUUAAUACAGUCUAAGUCCUGUCUGUGCCUGGGGGAGGGGGUUCUACUGAACGAUGUGGAAUUGUUUUAAGAAUGUCAAACCAAGGAUCUUCUUGUUAUUUGGUGCCUUAAUACAGUCUAAGUCCUGUCUGUGCCGGGGGAGGGGUUCUACUGAACGAUGUGGAAUUGUUUUAAGAAGGUCAAACCAAGGAUCUUCUUGUUAUUUGGUGCCUUAAUACAGUCUAAGUCCUGUCUGUGCCGGGGGAGGGGGUUCUACUGAACGAUGUGGAAUUGUUUUAAGAAUGUCAAACCAAGGAUCUUCUUGUUAUUUGAUUUAGAGUUUUAAGACUCAUCGAGGUAUCAAAAAAACAUAUAUAAAACAAAUAUUUGAUGAA